CUGGGAGGGAAUGGGAGGGAAUGGGAGUCAUACUGGGAUAUACUGGGAGGGACUGGGAGGUACUGGGAGUCAUACUGGGAGGGACUGGGAUAUACUGGGAGGGACUGGGAGGGGCUGGGAGGGCACUGGGAGGGACUGGGAGCCAUACUGGGAUAUACUGGGAGGGACUGGGAGGGACUGGGAGUGAUACUGGGAGGGACUGGGAUAUACUGGGAGGGACUGGGAGGGACUGGGAGGGGCUGGGUGGGGCUGGGAGGGACUGGGAGUCAUACUGGGAUAUACUGGGAUAUACUGGGAGGGACUGGGAGGGACUGGGAGGGACUGGGAGUGAUACUGGGAGGGACUGGGAGCCAUACUGGGGUGGACUGAGAGGGACUGGGAGGGACUGGGAGUCAUACUGGGAUAUACUGGGAGGGACUGGGAGGGACUGGGAGGGAAUGGGAGGGAAUGGGAGUGAUACUGGGAGGGACUGGGAGUCAUACUGGGAUAUACUGGGAGGGACUGAGUUAUACUGGGAUAUACUGGGAGGGACUGGGAGGGACUGAGA
ensembl:lncRNA